rnacentral:lncRNA from 1 species
AAAUAGCAUCACUCUUAACAUAAACAAAGUACGUAAAUAAUUUAGACAUAAGUAAUGAUAUAAUUUAGACAAAGUACCUAUAUUUUCUGUCUCUAGGUAUCUAACCAUCUUCAUCAUCAUGUAAAUCGUUCUCUUCCUCUUCGUCUUAAUCAUCAUCAUCAUCAGCUUCAUGUAUAGCAAGGUCUGAAAAAAGCUUUAUCUCCAUGAAUUUGAUGAUCUUGAUAUACAUCGAAUUGAUCCAAUGCGGAAACAGACGCAGCGUCACCAUGACAUGUCUAUUCCAUAGGUCAUCAUCACAAGAGCCCCAACUUUUUUUCUUUUAGUUUUUUUUUUUUUUUUUUCCAGUACUUCCUCUAUUCCAUAAAUAAGAAUAGUCUUCUUCUUCUUCUUUAAGUAUGUCAAAGGAUAAGGCGAGCACCACCACUCGGCCAGGACACAGAAGCAUCCUACUGUGUGCCCAAUCGGUCUAAAUCCCAAUAACCAGAAUCUCCUCUCCUAUCAGGUCAAGAAGCCUCUUUUUUGAUUGGGAUGUGUUUGUUGGUGGUGUUGGAUUCUUUUCGUUUUGACUGCGUCUCACUCUUGGAAUAUUGCAGUAAUCACGUUUCCAAGUGGGGGUGGUGAAUUUGGAAGAGACGGAGGAGGCCAGACGAGAGAAUCGAGAGAUACAUGCCAUUUUUUCACGAUCAAAAUUUACACAUUUUUCAGCUGUAACAUUCAUGAAGGCUAGGGUUUUAGCC